UUAUUCCUACGGGACGCAGCAGUGGGGGAUAUUGCACAAUGCGGGAAACCCUGAUGCAGCGACGCCGCGUGGGUGAAGAAGCGCCUCGGCGCGUAAAGCCCUGUCAGCAGGGAAGAAAAUGACGGUACCUGAGUAAGAAGCCCCGGCUAACUACGUGCCAGCAGCCGCGGUAAUACGUAGGGGGCAAGCGUUAUCCGGAUUUACUGGGUGUAAAGGGAGCGUAGACGGCCAGACAAGUCUGAAGUGAAAAUCCAGCGCUUAACGUUGGAAGUGCUUUG
rnacentral:rRNA from 1 species